UACGUAGGCAGCGAGCGUUGUUCGGAGUUACUGGGCGUAAAGGGUGUGUAGGCGGUUGUUUAAGUUUGGUGUGAAAUCUCCCGGCUCAACUGGGAGGGUGCGCCGAAUACUGAAUGACUUGGAGUGCGGGAGAGGAAAGUGGAAUUCCUGGUGUAGCGGUGAAAUGCGUAGAUAUCAGGAGGAACACCGGUGGUGUAGACGGCUUUCUGGACCGUAACUGACGCUGAGACACGAAAGCGUGGGGAUCAAACAGG
rnacentral:rRNA from 1 species